rnacentral:rRNA from 1 species
AUUGAACGCUGGCGGCAUGCUUUACACAUGCAAGUCGAACGGUAACAGGUUAAGCUGACGAGUGGCGAACGGGUGAGUAAUGCAUCGGAACGUGCCCGGUCGUGGGGGAUAACGCAGCGAAAGCUGCGCUAAUACCGCAUACGAACUAAGGAUGAAAGCGGGGGACCGUAAGGCCUCGCGCGAUCGGAGCGGCCGAUGUCAGAUUAGGUAGUUGGUGGGGUAAAGGCUCACCAAGCCAACGAUCUGUAGCUGGUCUGGGAGGACGACCAGCCACACUGGGACUGAGACACGGCCCAGACUCCUACGGGAGGCAGCAGUGGGGAAUUUUGGACAAUGGGCGAAGGCCUGAUCCAGCAAUGCCGCGUGCAGGAAGAAGGCCUUCGGGUUGUAAACUGCUUUUGUACGGAGCGAAAAGGUCUCCUCUAAUACAGGGGGCUCAUGACGGUACCGUAAGAAUAAGCACCGGCUAACUACGUGCCAGCCGCCGCGGUAA